AUGAAGUCCUCAAUGGCUGCAAACAGCAGCUUCCCUGGUAGUGAUGCAGCCUGUUUGUUGUAUGGGUUGCUCUAAGGGACCUUGGAGACAGAC
rnacentral:snoRNA from 1 species